rnacentral:rRNA from 1 species
UACGUAGGGGGCAAGCGUUGUCCGGAUUUAUUGGGCGUAAAGAGCGUGUAGGCGGCUAGGUAGGUCCGUUGUGAAAACUCGAGGCUCAACCUCGAGACGCCGGUGGAAACCAUCUAGCUAGAGUCCGGAAGAGGAGAGUGGAAUUCCUGGUGUAGCGGUGAAAUGCGCAGAUAUCAGGAGGAACACCGAUGGCGAAGGCGGGUCUCUGGGCCGAUACUGACGCUGAGGAGCGAAAGCGUGGGGAGCGAACAGG